UUUUCAACUGAUUUAAUAGUGACUUUAAUAGUCUGGAAAGUAGUUUAAUGAUUGUAAACAUAUUGUGCUUAUUUAGGCUAUCACAUUUUGUUGAAAUAAAAUGCAGAAAUUCUAAUUAAGUACAUUUGCCAAUUUCAGUUGAUCCUGAAGCAACAGAGCAACCCAGAGUUGUCAACACAACAUGGCUAAAGGGUCUUCUCAUUGGAUCCGGGGUCUUGAAUGCAGUGCUCAUUUUAUUGCUGUCAGCCAUUUCAGUGCUGUGGAAGAGAGCUGCUUGCCAGAAGAACCAUGACUCUCCUCCAACCCCUGAACCACCUGAAAGGGCAGACAGUCUAGUGUAUGAAGUGAUACAGCUGGUACCCCCACCAAGAGGACUAAGGCCCGACCGCAUAGCCUCAACUAUUUACUCCAGAGUCCAAUUUCCAAAUCCUGAACUCACAACUACUGCUUAAUAAUGUGCCACAUCUUGACUUUGGUGGAUAAUGUGAAUCUACUCUGAUUAUUCCUAUAUUUAUAUAAUGUACCUAAUGCUGCUCUUCGUCACUCGUCUAUAUACCAGUUAGCAAUAUCUUUGAAGGAAAUUAUUACUUUUGUGUCUUGAUUCAUGUUUUUCAUUGUUCAUUCCUGGAAAUAAGUGAAUUUGUGCCUGUCUUGAAAGUAAAUUGUAACUUUUUGUGUGAAGCAGUUAGGAAGAGGUUUGUGGAUUUCUGUAGAAAACCCCCCCAAGCCUUUUGUAGUGUAUUGAUGCUGCAUCAACCACACAUAUCCUGUUUGAGAGCUUAGUCGCUUACUUAGCAACAUGCAUGUCCCAAUUACUGUACAAUUGACCAUUUUUAACAAUGACUUUUUCAAACAUUAAACUAGAGUUUUGAAUUUUAAGUUCA